CCUACGGGGGGCAGCAGUGAGGAAUAUUGGUCAAUGGGCGCGAGCCUGAACCAGCCACGUAGCGUGAAGGAUGACUGCCCUACGGGUUGUAAACUUCUUUUAUAAAGGAAUAAAGUGAGGCACGUGUGCCUUUUUGUAUGUACUUUAUGAAUAAGGAUCGGCUAACUCCGUGCCAGCAGCCGCGGUAAUACGGAGGAUCCGAGCGUUAUCCGGAUUUAUUGGGUUUAAAGGGAGCGUAGGUGGGUUGUUAAGUCAGUUGUGAAAGUUUGCGGCUCAACCGUAAAAUUGCAAUUGAUACUGGCAGCCUUGAGUACAGUAGAGGUAGGCGGAAUUCGUGGUGUAGCGGUGAAAUGCUUAGAUAUCACGAAGAACUCCGAUUGCGAAGGCAGCCUACUAGACUGCAACUGACGUUGAUGCUCGAAAGUGUGGGGAUCAAACAGGAUUAGAUACCCGAGUAGUC
rnacentral:rRNA from 1 species